rnacentral:rRNA from 1 species
AGUAACGCGAGGGCAACCUGCCUUAUACAGGGGGAUAACAGCUGGAAACAGCUGCUAAUACCGCAUAAGCGCACAGCGGCGCAUGACGCAGUGUGAAAAACUGAGGUGGUAUAAGAUGGGCCCGCGUCUGAUUAGCUGGUUGGGAGGGUAACGGCCUACCAAGGCGACGAUCAGUAGCCGGCCUGAGAGGGCGGACGGCCACAUUGGGACUGAGACACGGCCCAGACUCCUACGGAAGGCAGCAG